CUCCUACAAAGCAGAUUGCCCGCAAAUCCACCCCGGUGGUGGUAAAGCACCCAGGAAACAACUGGCUACAAAAGCCGCUCGCAAGUGCGCCCUCUACUGGAGGGGUAAAGAAACCUCAUCGUUACAGGCCUGGUACUAUGGCACUCCCUGAAAUCAGACGCUAUCAGAAGUCCACUGAACUUCUGAUCCGCAAGCUCCCCUUUCAGCGUCUGGUGCGAGAAAUUGUUCAGGACUUCAAAACAUCUGCAAGUGAGGCCUAUCUGGUAUUGACGAUACCAAUCUGUGUGCUAUCCAUGCCAAACGUAUAACAAUUAUGCCAAAAGAUAUCCAGCUAGCACGCCGCAUACGCGGA
rnacentral:lncRNA from 1 species